UACGAAGGUCCCAAGCGUUGUUCGGAAUCACUGGGCGUAAAGGGAGCGUAGGCGGCGUGGUAAGUCAGAUGUGAAAUCCUGGGGCUCAACCCUGGAACUGCAUUGAAUACUGGGAGGCUAGAGUACUGGAGAGGAAACUGGAAUUUACGGUGUAGCAGUGAAAUGCGUAGAGAUCGUAAGGAAGACCAGUGGCGAAGGCGAGUUUCUGGACAGUUACUGACGCUGAGGCACGAAGGCCAGGGGAGCAAACGGG
rnacentral:rRNA from 1 species